rnacentral:rRNA from 1 species
AACGAACGCUGGCGGCAUGCCUAACACAUGCAAGUCGAACGAGACCUUCGGGUCUAGUGGCGCACGGGUGCGUAACGCGUGGGAACCUGCACUUAGGUUCGGAAUAACUCCCCGAAAGGGGUGCUAAUACCGGAUAAUGUCUUCGGACCAAAGAUUUAUCGCCUUUGGAUGGGCCCGCGUUGGAUUAGCUAGUUGGUAGGGUAAAAGCCUACCAAGGCGACGAUCCAUAGCUGGUCUGAGAGGAUGAUCAGCCACACUGGGACUGAGACACGGCCCAGACUCCUACGGGAGGCAGCAGUGGGGAAUAUUGUACAAUGGGCGAAAGCCUGAUCCAGCAAUGCCGCGUGAGUGAUGAAGGCCUUAGGGUUGUAAAGCUCUUUUACCCGGGAUGAUAAUGACAGUACCGGGAGAAUAAGCUCCGGCUAACUCCGUG